ACGUCUGCAGGUUUUCAAGGAAUAUUCCUUCCCUAUUAUCCAGACACGUAAUGGGCCAGAAGAGCUGUAAGGAACUACUUCUUACCCGUGGAGAAACUUUUAAUUUUAUGAAGAUAGAGACCAAAAAGCACGGAGUGCAUCAAUGAAUGGGUUAAAAUAUUAGACUUUCCGACAUGAGGCUCAUUCAGCCCUAGAAUAUUAGAAACGGUUGUAGAAGCGACAAAAGAAAAUGAAAAAAAGAGAAGAAAAAGGAAAUUACAGGAUUUGAGUCCUCCCUCUGUGUUUUGAGUCUAGACGUUAGACACCCUCCCUCCCCACAGCUUCACUACACCAGAGGCAUUUCUUCCGCAUGGCCUGAAAGGGAGAGGUACAGCCUCCCUGGCUGCUGCAGACAACAAUGCAAGAGUCUCCAGCAGCAACGAAACUCAUAUGGGUAAAAACCUGUGCUGUUUGCCAGAGCCAGAAGAGCAUUACACUGGACUCAUCUUAAAAGCACACUUAUGCAAGUAGAAGAGAAAAAGGCUGGAGGGAAGUUCUGUCUCCCUCCUGGGGAAGGUAAAGUGCACAAGGAAAUGUCCCAUGCAGUAAAUGUCCCAUGCAGGCCUGGGGAGGGCCUGGGUCCUUGGACUGAUUGUUGUGCCACAACAAUCCAACUCAGGAGAAAGAAACUGAUGGAGCCAUGGGUCUCCUUUCCUCUACUGUCUCCAGCCUUGCGACUCAGAGAUCACUACUUGGAAACACCAAACCAUUGCUCACCUGCCUGUCCACCUUCCAACACCACAUGCUUAGCUGAAGCGCUUCCACUCAGAAGAUUACAAAGUGAGAGAGACAGUACUCUGUGCCAACCCUCCUGCGUAACCCAGCUUCCGUGGGAAAACGUUUCUCCUCCUACAAGCAUCAUCCAUCAUCAACAUGCCUAUCCAGAUCUCUUUGGCAGACCCAGAAGGUGUUUUGUCUCACUUGUGCUGUGUUUCAAAUAAACUGUUUAAUCUGCUGUUCUGCCUCCAAAACUGUUUGCCCAUACUCAGAGUCAAUAAACCAUCAUUAUGACAAUUUCAAAUAAAAUUAUC